CCUUCGGAUGGCUUGAAGAAGAUAGUGACAGUAGACACUGCCCCAUGACCUCUGUUAUCAGCCCUACCAAAUUGAACAUGGCCCUGAUCCAUCAAACCCUGGAUACCAGCCCGCAGUAGUUCACAACCGUUCUCAGCCUCUGCACAGCCCAGGCAAUCUCCAUCACAGCCCGGAUGAACACCACUAUUCAGCAGACGGUCUUUAACUACCAGCAAAGAAGUCUG
rnacentral:lncRNA from 1 species